UACAGAGGUCUCGAGCGUUGUUCGGAUUCAUUGGGCGUAAAGGGUGCGUAGGCGGCGCGGUAAGUCGGGUGUGAAAUCUCGGAGCUUAACUCCGAAACUGCAUUCGAUACUGCCGUGCUUGAGGACUGGAGAGGAGACUGGAAUUUACGGUGUAGCGGUGAAAUGCGUAGAUAUCGUAAGGAAGACCAGUGGCGAAGGCGGGUCUCUGGACAGUUCCUGACGCUGAGGCACGAAGGUCAGGGGAGCAAACGGG
rnacentral:rRNA from 1 species